UGGGGUGUAGCUCAUUGGUAGAGCACUUGUCUAGCAUGCAUAAGGUGCUGGGUAUAAUCUCCAGCACUGCAA
rnacentral:tRNA from 1 species